CCUACGGGAGGCAGCAGUGAGGAAUAUUGGUCAAUGGACGAGAGUCUGAACCAGCCAAGUAGCGUGAAGGAUGACUGCCCUAUGGGUUGUAAACUUCUUUUAUAAAGGAAUAAAACGAGGCACGUGUGCCUUUUUGCAUGUACUUUAUGAAUAAGGAUCGGCUAACUCCGUGCCAGCAGCCGCGGUAAUACGGAGGAUCCGAGCGUUAUCCGGAUUGAUUGGGUUUAAAGGGAGCGUAGAUGGGUUGUUAAGUAAGUUGUGAAAGUUUGCGGCUCAACCGUAAAAUUGCAAUUGAUACUGGCAGUCUUGAGUACAGUUGAGGUAGGCGGAAUUCGUGGUGUAGCGGUGAAAUGCUUAGAUAUCACGAAGAACUCCGAUUGCGAAGGCAGCUUACUAGACUGUGACUGACACUGAGGCUCGAAAGUGUGGGUAUCAAACAGGAUUAGAUACCCUAGUAGUC
rnacentral:rRNA from 1 species